CAAUAGCGUAUAUUUAAGUUGUUGCAGUUAAAAAGCUCGUAGUUGGAUUUCGGUUAAGAGCGACCGGUCCGCCGUUUGGUGUGCACUGGUUGGUUUUAACUUCCUGUAGAGGACGUGCUCUGGGUUUAACGACCUGGACUCGGAGUCUACGUGGUUACUUUGAAAAAAUUAGAGUGUUCAAAGCGGGCUUACGCUUGAAUAUUUCAGCAUGGAAUAACACUAUAGGACGCCUGUCCUAUUUCGUUGGUCUCGGGACGGGAGUAAUGAUUAAGAGGAACAGUUGGGGGCAUUCGUAUUUCAUUGUCAGAGGUGAAAUUCUUGGAUUUAUGAAAGACGAACUUCUGCGAAAGCAUUUGCCAAGGAUGUUUUCAUUAA
rnacentral:rRNA from 1 species